rnacentral:rRNA from 1 species
GAUGAACGCUAGCGGCAGGCUUAACACAUGCGAGUCGAGGGGUAGAGGCUUUCGGGCCUUGAGACCGGCGCACGGGUGCGUAACGCGUAUGCAAUCUGCCUUUCACAGAGGGAUAGCCCAGAGAAAUUUGGAUUAAUACCUCAUAGCAUAACACAACCGCAUGGUUGAGUUGUUAAAGUCACAACGGUGAAAGAUGUGCAUGCGUCCCAUUAGUUAGUUGGUAAGGUAACGGCUUACCAAGACUUCGAUGGGUAGGGGUCCUGAGAGGGAGAUCCCCCACACUGGUACUGAGACACGGACCAGACUCCUACGGGAGGCAGCAGUGAGGAAUAUUGGUCAAUGGGCGCAAGCCUGAACCAGCCAUGCCGCGUGCAGGAUGACGGUCCUAUGGAUUGUAAACUGCUUUUGUACGAGAAGAAACACUCCUUCGUGAAGGAGCUUGACGGUAUCGUAAGAAUAAGGAUCGGCUAACUCCGUGCCAGCAGCCGCCGUAA